GACGAACGCUGGCGGCGUGCUUAACACAUGCAAGUCGAGCGAGUGGCGGACGGGUGAGUAAUGUCUGGGAAACUGCCCGAUGGAGGGGGAUAACUACUGGAAACGGUAGCUAAUACCGCAUACCAUCGGAUGUGCCCAGAUGGGAUUAGCUAGUAGGUGGGGUAACGGCUCACCUAGGCGACGAUCCCUAGCUGGUCUGAGAGGAUGACCAGCCACACUGGAACUGAGACACGGUCCAGACUCCUACGGGAGGCAGCAGUGGGGAAUAUUGCACAAUGGGCGCAAGCCUGAUGCAGCCAUGCCGCGUGUAUGAAGAAGGCCUUCGGGUUGUAAAGUACUUUCAGCCAUGACGCGGUAGUGGCAGAAGAAGCACCGGCUAACUACGUGCCAGCAGCCGCGGUAAUUC
rnacentral:rRNA from 1 species